rnacentral:misc_RNA from 1 species
UUUCCGUAGGUCGCUAGAGUUCAGCCUACCAAAGCAAACCUUUCAAAACUGCUAGUCUCUCCCCGAGGCGACACGCUCAAUGUUGCGGAGAGGCCCUCUUUUCAGAGGGUAAUCCGCAGCCGGCCCCCUAAAGGCUGGUUCAGAGACUCAAUGAGUGUGGGUUUGGCCUUUGGCCAGGCUUAAGAUAGAGCCCGUCCCUGUAGGCAACUGCGGGGGAUGAACGGAACCUGCGGAAGGAUCAUUAAAGAAUCGGUGACCCUCGCGGUCCCAUUCUCACCCUUGGUAUACCAAACUUCAGUUGCUUUGGCUGGCCUUCGCGGGCCGGCCAGAGGACUCAAACCCUUGAAUCUUUGCUGUCUGAGUACUAUAUAAUAGUUAAAACUUUCAACAACGGAUCUCUUGGUUCUG